AUCGAGCAAUUUGUCACUUUUCUGCUGGAAAACGAAAUCAUCAUAAUACCCUCAUAUGACAUACCAGUUUUUGUUUCGGUGAAUGAUUUCCC
ensembl:ncRNA Y20F4.11 ncRNA